rnacentral:rRNA from 1 species
AUACAGAGGGUGCAAGCGUUAUUCGGAAUUACUGGGCGUAAAGCGCGCGUAGGCGGAUGAUUAAGUCAGUUGUGAAAGCCCUGGGCUCAACCUAGGAACUGCAUCUGAUACUGGUCGUCUAGAGUUUAAGAGAGGGAAGUGGAAUUCCAGGUGUAGCAGUGAAAUGCGUAGAUAUCUGGAGGAACAUCAGUGGCGAAGGCGACUUCCUGGCUUAAAACUGACGCCGAGGUGCGAAAGCGUGGGUAGCGAACGGGAUUAGAAACCCUAGUAGUCC